rnacentral:rRNA from 1 species
UAGUCCACGCCGUAAACGAUGGAUACUAGCUGUCCGGUCUUCGGACUGGGCGGCCAAGCGAAAGUGAUAAGUAUCCCACCUGGGGAGUACGUUCGCAAGAAUGAAACUCAAAGGAAUUGACGGGGGCCCGCACAAGCGGUGGAGCAUGUGGUUUAAUUCGAUGAUACGCGAGGAACCUUACCAGGGCUUAAAUGUAGAUUGACAGGUUUAGAGAUAGACUUUUCUUCGGACAAUUUACAAGGUGCUGCAUGGUUGUCGUCAGCUCGUGCCGUGAGGUGUUGGGUUAAGUCCCGCAACGAGCGCAACCCACAUACUUAGUUGCCAGCAUAUAAAGAUGGGGACUCUAAGUAAACUGCCUACGCAAGUAGGAGGAAGGUGUGGACGACGUCAAAUCAUCAUGGCCUUUAUGCCUAGGGCUACACACGUGCUACAAUGGUAUCGACAAAGAGUUGCGAACUUGUGAGAGUAAGCCAAUCUCAAAAACGAUAUCUCAGUUCGGAUUGGAGUCUGGAA